rnacentral:rRNA from 1 species
CGGAGGAUCCAAGCGUUAUCCGGAAUCAUUGGGUUUAAAGGGUCCGUAGGCGGUUUGAUAAGUCAGUGGUGAAAGCCCAUCGCUCAACGAUGGAACGGCCAUUGAUACUGUCAGACUUGAAUUACUGGGAAGUAACUAGAAUAUGUAGUGUAGCGGUGAAAUGCUUAGAUAUUACAUGGAAUACCAAUUGCGAAGGCAGGUCACUACCAGUGGAUUGACGCUGAUGGACGAAAGCGUGGGGAGCGAACAGGAUUAGAUACCCUGGUAGUCCACGCCGUAAACGAUGGAUACUAGCUGUUCGGAGCAAUCUGAGUGGCUAAGCGAAAGUGAUAAGUAUCCCACCUGGGGAGUACGUUCGCAAGAAUG